rnacentral:rRNA from 1 species
AGUGAACGCUGGCGGCAGGCCUAACACAUGCAAGUCGAACGGCAGCACAAGAGAGCUUGCUCUCUGGGUGGCGAGUGGCGGACGGGUGAGGAAUGCAUCGGAAGCUGCCCAUUUUUGGGGGAUAACCUCGGGAAACCGGGACUAAUACCGCAUACGACCUACGGGUGGAAGGAGGGGGUCUUCGGACCUUGCGCAGGUGGGUGAGCCGGUGCCGGAUUAGCUGGUUGGAGGGGUAAACGCCCACCAAGGGGACGAGCCGUAGCUGGUCUGAGAGUGUGAUGGGCCACCUUGGGACGGAGACACGGCCCAGACUACUACGGGAGGCAGCAGUGGGGAAUAUUGGACAACGGGGGCAAGCAUGAUCCAGCCAUGCCGCGUGUGUGAAGAAGGCCUUCGGGUUGUAAAGCACUUUUGUUGGGAAAGAAAAGCAGCCGGUUAAUACCCGGUUGUCAUGACGGUACCCAAAGAAUAAGCACCGGCUAACUUCGUG